UUCCUUCCAUCUCUCCGUAUCAUAGGACCACAGCAAGAGUAAGCAAGCCCUUUGAUAGCCACUCCACACUCUACAUCAAGCCAAAAGCUCAAAGCAAAGGUCAUUACAUAGCUUUCAAAGGAUGAGUAAAAUGGUUAAAAAACGUGGCAAAGGAUCUGUAGCUGAAAUUCAGGAAAAUAUAACUAAUAAGUUAUCGAGAAUGGACUCUAACAAUUC